ensembl:misc_RNA Metazoa_SRP Metazoan signal recognition particle RNA
GCUGGGUGUGGUGGUGCAUGCCUGUAGUCCCAGCUACUUGGGAGGCUGAGGUGGGAGGAUCGCUUGAGCCUGGGAGGUCGAGGCUGCAGUGAGCUGUGGUCAUGCCACUGCACUCCAGCCUGUGUGACAGAGUGAGACCCUGUCUCAA